rnacentral:snRNA from 1 species
AGGCAUGCGGGCAUGAGACUCUCUGCAACUCUCUGCAGACUCUCUUAGCUGCGUGCUCAGUCGAAGAGGACAGCCUUCCCCGAAUAGAGACGGACCAGUCUUCGGUCGAGGGUAUACGUGUAGCUGUGCUCCCCUGCUAGAACCUCCAAACAAGCUCUCAACAUGAAACAAAAGAUUUAAAUAUUUAUUUUGAAACAUUAUUUUUAGAAUUUAUUUUAAUUG